ACUCAAGUAGUCAGGAUGAGUUAAUUUAAGAGGGCUGUGUUGAUUUCUGUGCUUUCAGAUUCCCUGUGCACCAAACCUGUGAUGCCCACUGCACCUCUCCAGGCUCCUCUGCACGACAUCCAGAAGCUGCACACAGAUCAGUUUUACCUCAUUUUACAGCAUGACUUCAUAUGGUAUUACAUCAACUGAGCUAAUGACAAAAUCUGGAAAAUUUAAAACAGGAACCUGGCCUUAAUUUGCACAAUAUUCUGCUCCUUUCCUGGGGAUUUCAGUGAGUCACAACCCACGGUGUGAUGCUCCAAGACCCUCAGGAUGUGACUUGGACUUGCUCGCUGAGCGCCAGGGCAGCAGGUUUUCAGUUUUUAAAGACAGGUUAUUUUGCAUGUAGACUGGCCUCUUCAUGAGGAAUAGCUGAACUGUAUCAUGAAGAUAUCAUGAAGACUUUGCUUUUU
rnacentral:lncRNA from 12 species